AUUGAACGCUGGCGGCAUGCUUUACACAUGCAAGUCGAACGGUAACGCGGGGGCAACCCUGGCGACGAGUGGCGAACGGGUGAGUAAUACAUCGGAACGUGUCCUGGAGUGGGGGAUAGCUCGGCGAAAGCCGGAUUAAUACCGCAUACGCUCUGAGGAGGAAAGCGGGGGACCUUCGGGCCUCGCGCUGCGGGAGCGGCCGAUGUCGGAUUAGCUAGUUGGUGGGGUAAAGGCCCACCAAGGCGACGAUCCGUAGCUGGUCUGAGAGGAUGAUCAGCCACACUGGGACUGAGACACGGCCCAGACUCCUACGGGAGGCAGCAGUGGGGAAUUUUGGACAAUGGGGGCAACCCUGAUCCAGCCAUGCCGCGUGAGUGAAGAAGGCCUUCGGGUUGUAAAGCUCUUUCGGACGGAACGAAACGGUUACGGUGAAUAAUCGUGACUAAUGACGGUACCGUAAGAAGAAGCACCGGCUAACUACGUGCCAGCCGCCGCGGUAA
rnacentral:rRNA from 1 species